rnacentral:rRNA from 1 species
GAACGGUAACAGGUCUUCGGAUGCUGACGAGUGGCGAACGGGUGAGUAAUACAUCGGAACGUGCCUAGUAGUGGGGGAUAACUACUCGAAAGAGUAGCUAAUACUGCAUGAGAUCUACGGAUGAAAGCGGGGGACCUUCGGGCCUUGUGCUACUAGAGCGGCUGAUGGCAGAUUAGGUAGUUGGUGGGGUAAAGGCUUACCAAGCCUGCGAUCUGUAGCUGGUCUGAGAGGACGACCAGCCACACUGGGACUGAGACACGGCCCAGACUCCUACGGGAGGCAGCAGUGGGGAAUUUUGGACAAUGGGCGAAAGCCUGAUCCAGCAAUGCCGCGUGCAGGGUGAAGGCCCUCGGGUUGUAAACUGCUUUUGUACGGAACGAAAAGCCUGGGGCUAAUACCCCCGGGUCAUGACGGUACCGUAAGAAUAAGCACCGGCUAACUACGUGCCAGCAGCCGCGGUAAUACGUAGGGUGCAAGCGUUAAUCGGAAUUACUGGGCGUAAAGCGUGCGCAGGCGGUUUUGUAAGACAGUGGUGAAAUCCCCGGGCUCAACCUGGGAACUGCCAUUGUGACUGCAAGGCUAGAGUGCGGCAGAGGGGGAUGGAAUUCCGCGUGUAGCAGUGAAAUGCGUAGAUAUGCGGAGGAACACCGAUGGCGAAGGCAAUCCCCUGGGCCUGCACUGACGCUCAUGCACGAAAGCGUGGGGAGCAAACAGGAUUAGAUACCCUGGUAGUCCACGCCCUAAACGAUGUCAACUGGUUGUUGGGUCUUAACUGACUCAGUAACGAAGCUAACGCGUGAAGUUGACCGCCUGGG